CGCAGCACCGCGAGAUGCUGCAGCGCCAGCAGCACCAGCAGGGCGCCGCUUAUAAGGCCCCUGAGGAGACAAACCCCGUCGGGGAAGAUCUCCCCAUACUCCACAACCCCGGGGGUAACGGGGUACAUAUUCCCCCAGCAAAUGGUGGCGGGGGUAAUAAUGGGGUUGGUGGAUAUGGUGGUGGCGGUGGUGGGGGUAAUUAUGGCGGUGCGGGGAACGAUGGUGUUGGCGGGUUGCCGGAAUUCGACGAAGAUUCAUCGUCUCGAGGACCGAUAAUUCCUGAUCCCCUCGGGGGACCUUACCAUCCCGACGGUCCCAAUGUUGCUGGGGGGUCCUCACCCCCGCCCCGACCCCUGAACCUUCUUAACGCUUCUCGGGGGAGCAUUUCCCCCGGCCUGCCCCCCCGUGGUGGGGGACCAUUGGGGGUGCACAGGUCGGUGGGGCACAUGGCCCACCUCAUCGCCUCCCGUCAGGGCCUCAACUAUGGACACGUCGCCGCCCUCACCAAGGAGCCGAGAGAAUAAACUCGGCCUUCAUCAAGUCCUGCAGCGAUCCUUCUCCUUCAAGAGGAAUUCUCUUCAUCCACGACCCAUGAGGAUGCAGCUGGAAACUCCUUUGCUUGUGUAAUAAUUGCCAGAUUUCGGGAUAUGAAGCUACUUUAAUGUGCAUUCAGUAGCCAGUCCAGAUGUGAGAACUCUGUGAAAGGUAUACUUAUGAGAAAGCGGUAUACUCUUGAGCACUCCAAUUUUAAGGCAUACCGGUACUCUUUAGAACGCACAUUAUUGGGAGGUAUGCUUCUGAGUACUCACAUGGUAAGGUAUCCUCCUGAGACCUCGAAUUAAGAGGGAUAGUCUUGAGAAUCCCAUUUUAAGGCAUACCGGUACUCUUUAGAACGCACAUUAUUGGGAGGUUUGCUUGUGAGUACUCACAUGGUAAGGUAUCCUCCUGAGACCUCGGAUUAAGAGGUAUACUCAUGAGAACUCUCAACGGAGGUAUAUUAUCGAGGACUCUCAACGGGAAUUAUACAUACACGUGAUUAUUUAAUGGACUGAUAUAUUCGCAAGUACUCGCACUGGAAUGAAAUAUCGUUGUACGUUUCCAAGUCUGCCAUCGAGUGCCAGCUGAAGAGAAAUAAAGGCUUCGUACACAGUUACUUGUGAUGGCUAACCGGCCGCCCCUGUAAAUAUCUAUUCAUAGUGCCGUUCAUGUCGGAAUAAAACGAAUUUCUACUACAGUUAUGUUGAUCAUACUAUUUAUACCCCUACUAACCGUGUACACUCAGAGAAAUGAGUGAGAUUUUGUCCGAAUAGCAAUGCACUUUUUGCCCCGUGAGUGUCAUUCUGACACCAUUUUUACCCCUUAAAAAAGACGACGUUUCAGCGCGGGUGCUCGUGGUUUCAGUAAUAAAGUGAAUAAAAAUUUGGACAAAAUGACCCAUUCAUUUUCUGAGUCAUAGAAACCCUGAUGUGUAGACUAUGUGAUUAGUGGUAAGGCGUCUGUAUCAUCGUCACUAUCAGUGAUAGAUAAUUUACGAAGAAGCCAUUGUUCUUUAUAUUUUAAAUGGCAGAGAAGCAAAGGUCACCGGAAACAGAUGUAGUUGACAAUUGUUCAACAGUUGUUUGAAGGCCACAUUAUUGAGGUGUAAUGGAUGGUCGAGUGUGGAGACCUCGUGACAGAGAUCCACCCAAUUUUCGCCUUAAGGUUUAACAUUGUCUCGUGAUAUAUAACUCGUUUAUAGAUUAAAUGUUUGUACUACUCGUAUUAGCGGAAACUGCGGGCGCUGCUAAUAUAUGUGGUUCCAGCUGACAUGUGAAGUUGAAUUGACUCUGAUUAAUCGUUUUUUCGACAAAAUCGACUCGUAAUAAAAGUCUUUUUACCAUCAUUACUCUGAAAUGAAAUAUAUUUAACGAUCGCUUGUCGAGCCAACACAGCUACUUGCAUCCGCAAUGCAUUCGUACUUUUAAAGGUGCACAUUUGUAAUCAAGUUAAACUUGAACAAACUCUCACCUGCAAUACAUUUAAAUGCCAAUAAUAGUACGAAUUAGCAGCCAAUAAAUUGAGACGACCAUAUAGUUUGACAAGGUUCUCAAGUGGGCAAAAGUUUAUUCCUGUCAUAUUUUUGUCACCCCAGAAUAUAUUCCUGGGAAAGAUUCUCAAUUAUAUUGGACUAUUUGAAUAACGAAAUGUUUAUAAAUUCUUCAAAAAAUUGCAUUAACCCGUAUUUUUCAUACGUAAGCUCCAUUGUAUUUAAUGAAGAAACAUAGGCCUAAAUUAACGACUGAAGUUGAAACUUGUAUAUAGUGUAAAGUUAAUGGAUUAAAAAAACACUUCAGUAAUGUUCUAGGUUACUUAUACUUAAGUAUCUGCCCAUGUCAGAUAAAUACAUUUUAGAAUAUAUUGCGCUUUCUGUUUAUUUUGGAAAGGCCUUCAAGUGUACAGUAGAUUUAAUUGAAGAGGUUGUUUGUCGUUUUGUGGAAGUUUUUCAGUAAUUUUUCAAAUUUUCAUUCGAAAUUGAUUCUAUUUUCCUUCAAAUUGAUGAUAUUGCACAUAUAUCAUCAAUAUAUUGCACAUAUAUCACAUAUAUCAUCGUGGAGAACAUGUCGUGUUGGUGGAUAUGCAUGUCACGCAUGUUCGCUGGUCGGUUAUAACACCGAGUCUCUUUCUAGACAUGUUCGCUAUAAUCCCCUUGAAAAUAAUAAGGAUAGGAGCAUAUCUUCAAAUACCAAGCUAUUGAACUUCAUGUAAGCGACCUCUUGUUCGAGUGUCUUUGUUUCUGUUGCUUUU
rnacentral:misc_RNA from 1 species